AUGCGCCGGCAUCGACUUGGGCUGCUUCGACUUCAUCCUCGGUGUCGACUUCUUGCGGACCCUCGGUCCCAUCCUAUGGGACUUCGACGCCCUGAUGAUGACCUUCUGGCGCCAGGGGUACCGCGUCCAGUGGGUGGCGCCUCACCGGCAGCGCCGCAGAUGCAGCUGGCCGCGACUGCUGCAGGGCCCGAGCACCCUUUGUUGGAUCACCUUCUACAACAGCACCGCGACCUCUUCGACGAGCCUCAGGGUCUUCCGCCAGCCCGGGUGUAUGAUCACCGCAUUCAUCUCCUGCCAGGCACGGCGCCGGUGGCGGUGCGCCCCUACCGCUACCCCCAGCUGCAGAAGGACGAGCUGGAGCGGCAGUGCACGCUCAUGCUCGCCUUGGGCAUCAUCCGAAUCUCUACUUCGCCGUUUUCGGCGCCGGUCCUCCUCGUCCGUAAGUCGGACGACACAUGGCGCUUCUGCAUCGGCUACCGUGCCCUUAACGCCCAAACGCUCAAGGACAAAUUUCCUAUUCCGGUCGUCGACGAGCUCCUGGACAAGCUACAUGGGGCGCGCUUCUUCACCAAGCUCGACCUCCGUUCGGGCUACCACCAGGUGCGGAUGCACCCAGACGAUGUCGCAAAAACGGCGUUUCGGACUCAUCACGGCCACUUCGAGUUCUUGGUGAUGCUUUUUGGCCUCUCCAAUGCCCCGGCGUCCUUCCUGGCCUUCAUGAACGACAUCCUCCGCCCCUACUUGCGUCGGUUUGUGCUUGUUUUCUUUGAUGACAUUCUUAUCUACAGCGCCUCGUGGGCGGAGCACCUUCAGCACGUUGCCAUCGUCUUCAACGAGCUUCGAGCGCACCAUCUUCAUCUU
rnacentral:rRNA from 1 species